AUACGUAGGGGGCGAGCGUUGUCCGGAAUGAUUGGGCGUAAAGGGCGCGUAGGCGGCCCGGUAAGUCUGGAGUGAAAGUCCUGUUUUUAAGAUGGGAAUUGCUUUGGAUACUGUCGGGCUUGAGUGCAGGAGAGGUAAGUGGAAUUCCCAGUGUAGCGGUGAAAUGCGUAGAGAUUGGGAGGAACACCAGUGGCGAAGGCGACUUACUGGACUGUAACUGACGCUGAGGCGCGAAAGUGUGGGGAGCAAACAGGAUUAGAUACCCUGGUAGUCCACACUGUAAACGAUGAAUGCUAGGUGUAGGGGGUAUCGACCCCUUCUGUGCCGCAGUCAACACAAUAAGUAGUCCACCUGGGGAGUACGGCCGCAAGGUUGAAACUCAAAGGAAUUGACGGGG
rnacentral:rRNA from 1 species